rnacentral:misc_RNA from 1 species
GGUGGCUGCUUGUGAGCAGAAUGGUGAGGAAGAGAAGGCCUGUGUGUUCGUUUCGAAGGGUAGGAGAGAAGGAGUUAAGCCAACAAAUUAUAUGGUUUUCUAUUGUUAUCAGUGCUUGUACAGGGCUUGCAAGACUUGAAUUAGGACGGUCAGUUCAUGCAAUUGCUGUGAAAUCAUGCAUGGAGGUUUAUUUAUUUAUUAUUUUUUUGGUUGGUGUUUGUAUGAAAUUGCAUGAAAUUGAUUUGAUUUUCCCCUUUAUCAACUGAUGUUUGUAAAU